AGAGUUUGAUCCUGGCUCAGAUUGAACGCUGGCGGCAUGCCUUACACAUGCAAGUCGAACGGUAACAGGUCUUCGGAUGCUGACGAGUGGCGAACGGGUGAGUAAUACAUCGGAACGUGCCCGAUCGUGGGGGAUAACGCAGCGAAAGCUGUGCUAAUACCGCAUACGAUCUACGGAUGAAAGCGGGGGAUCGCAAGACCUCGCGCGGACGGAGCGGCCGAUGGCAGAUUAGGUAGUUGGUGGGAUAAAAGCUUACCAAGCCGACGAUCUGUAGCUGGUCUGAGAGGACGACCAGCCACACUGGGACUGAGACACGGCCCAGACUCCUACGGGAGGCAGCAGUGGGGAAUUUUGGACAAUGGGGGAAACCCUGAUCCAGCC
rnacentral:rRNA from 1 species